GACAGAGGGGGCAAGCGUUGCUCGGAAUCACUGGGCGUAAAGGGCGCGUAGGCGGGAUGGCAAGUCAGUCGUGAAAUCUCUCGGCUCAACCGAGAAACGUCGGCUGAUACUACCGUUCUUGAGGGAUGCAGAGGAGACUGGAAUUCCCGGUGUAGCGGUGAAAUGUGUAGAGAUCGGGAGGAACACCGAUGGCGAAGGCAGCCCCCUGGGCUAACACUGACGCUCAGGCACGAAAGCGUGGGGAGCAAACAGG
rnacentral:rRNA from 1 species